GACCACGCACACACUCCUUGGCCUGUGGCCGAGGGAGGGUGUCACAGGCCCACAUCCUGUCUCCCCCCGCUCGGGACGUGUUUUAUUUAUCUUGCUUUAUACACACGUUAAGUGGGACAUGGUCAAAACCCUUCUCGUUUCCUCCACGUAGGCAGAGCUGACCCUGCAGACGCUGGAAGUUUUCAUUCGGGUCAGCAAGUUGUGGACGUGAAGUAGGACUUUAAAGUAGGGGACUCCUGGGGAUUAAUCCUGAGCAGAAUUCUCGAAGACGACUCAAGUUUAAUCAAGUAGGAAGAAACUGGGAAGGAGUGAUAUUGGGAGCAUUGAUCAAGAGAAGGCAUACACAACAGAUCUGUAUUCACUGGCUGGUCGCUAUCUGCAUGCAUCCUGGUACCACUGAGCCCUGGACAGAGGACUGUUAGCAUCUCACUGGGAGCCACUGCUGUGCAAAGCAGGUACACAACAUAGCGAUUCGAUGACUAUCUACAUUAUGAAAUGCUCCCCACAAGAGGUGUAGUUACCAUCUGUCACCACACAAAUUUAUGACCAUGUUGGAAUCAUCGUAACCACACUUGUGUUCAUUGUUUAUCACCCCCGACUAAACAAAUUACCAUGUUCCUGCAUGUUAUUUCGCCGUGAGCAGGAGCACUCAUCACCUACCGUCGUGUCAUUUUGUUGGGGACACUGCCCACCAUUGACCUCUGUCAGGGCUGACGGAUUGGACCACAUGAGGUAUUUUGUGCCAGACUUGGAGGGAAGCAAUAAAGCAGCAACAUGUCUCUUUGAAGAAAUAACUGGAGUCAGUAGCUUUCCUGUACAUCACAAAUAGCCAAUUAUAAAGUAUAAUAAAAGAGGAGUUUCUUCAAUCCAGAAAAGAUGGAAUACUUACAUCUCACCACAUUCCUCCCACCAAAAACCAUGAACACUGUGCACAAAACAAGCACAAGGCUGCAAGGGUGGUGUUUCUGGAGUUCUCCUUCUGCCUUCUAUGGAUCCUGGGUUGGGGGCUAGAGAAGCCUACAACCCAGACACAUCAGCAGGAUGAGAUUCUGUUAAAGGUCCCAAGAAAAGCCAGCUCUCUUGCCACAGCAAUAAUAAAGGGGCAAAUCUCAGAAGACAGAAGCCUCUUGACCAUGACCAGCUCAGGCUAACAUCGUGAGAAACACGCAAACACAAAUCAAGAGAAAACAGGAGAGGCUGUAUGAAUAUCGAGUUAAGUAGACUGCACAGCAAAGUGACAGCAUCAAAGCUGAGAGCUGAACUUUGCCUGACACAGGCAGUACCUACCACAACUACACUAUCUGUGUGGGUGUGGAAUCCCACGGCAUUUACAACUCUUCCUGCGGUUGGUUUGGGACCAUGAGCCUGAGUUAUCUGCUGUGUGACAUUGUUGUAAGUGACGUGGUACUUCUGGGUCUAGCCACAGAUCUCCUUGUGCUUUUCCAUUAUUUUCCACAUCGACCUUGGAAGCCACAUGACCUACACCGUCCCUGUGCCCAGAUCCCAGAGUCACUGCAUGGAGGCGAGCAUCCAGGUGGGGUGCCACCUAACCCUCACUGUGACUUGUGGACUUAUGUGUCACUGUCACUAAUGCAACAAAGACAAUUCCACGGGGACGUGGGACUGGAAUUCAGCUUUCAGUUGUAACUAGAGCGCCUUGGAGAAUGAUGACACAUGAACGGCAGGGAGCUUAACUGUAUUAUUCAUUCGAAAUACUUGGUUUAGCAAAAUAUGUGAAUGAAUAUUGGGCGAAUAAGUAUCAAAAGUCCACAGACCCGCUAAUGAUUCCAUGAUUCAGUGUCUGAAGGAUCUUUAAUUUCCCCAGGAAAGAUUUCACUCACAUCACAUCUUUACGUUCGCAUGCAGUGAGCGCUUCUAAAGCCAGUGCCAGAAACUGCGGUCUAGUCUGACACGUUGGCUCUAAUCUCCACAGCAAACCGGCCUGGGAUCUAUCAUUUCUCUUCCACUGAAACAGAUAUCCAGACUCACGGAAGUUAGGCAGCACAAACAACUGAACAAAGUACAGUUCUAAUCUAGGUAUUUGUGGCGUCAGAGUCCAGGUUCUUGCCACUAAAAUUUCUAACUCACUGAAACCAAUCUGUGUAUUUAUAAUGCUAUUUUUUUUUCAUUUUGUGAAUUUCACAUUAGAACCUAGUACACACUAAAUUAACAAAAUGCUGCUAUUGCAUUUUAAAAUCUGUAAAUUUUUUUUGAGAAUCUGUACAUUCUUUCCCCGUUGGGUGCUGUCUUCUAUUAGCUCAACCUUGUGAAUGACGUUGUUC